rnacentral:tRNA from 1 species
GCCGGGGUGGCGGAAUUGGUAGACGCAAGGGACUUAAAAUCCCUCGGAGAGUCAUCUCUGUGCGGGUUCGAUUCCCGCCCCCGGCA